rnacentral:rRNA from 1 species
GCAACAGCUCAAAUUUGAAAUCUGGCCUUUGGUCCGAAUUGUAAUUUGUAGAGGAUGAUUUUGGUGCGGUACUUUCCGAGUUCCCUGGAACGGGACGCCUUAGAGGGUGAGAGCCCCGUACGGUUAGAUGCCUAGCCUCUGUAAAUCUCCUUCGACGAGUCGAGUAGUUUGGGAAUGCUGCUCUAAAUGGGAGGUAAAUUUCUUCUAAAGCUAAAUACUAGCCAGAGACCGAUAGCGCACAAGUAGAGUGAUCGAAAGAUGAAAAGCACUUUGAAAAGAGGGUUAAACAGCACGUGAAAUUGUUGAAAGGGAAGCGCUUAUGACCAGACUUUUUCUAGGUGGAUCAUCCGGUGUUCUCACCGGUGCACUUCAUUUAGUUUAGGCCAGCAUCGGUUUCUAUAGGGAGAUAAAAGCUUCAGGAAUGUGACUCCUCCGGGAGUGUUAUAGUCUGUUGUAUAAUAUCCUUACGGGGACCGAGGUACGCGCUCUGCAAGGAUGCUGGCAUAAUGGUCAUCAGCGACCCGUCUUGAAACACGGACCAAGGAGUCGAACAUUUGUGCGAGUGUUUGGGUGUUAAACCCUCACGCGUAAUGAAAGUGAACGGAGGUGAGAGCCUUUAGGCGCAUCAUCGACCGAUCCUGAUGUCUUCGGAUGGAUUUGAGUAGGAGCAUAACUGUUCGGACCCGAAAGAUGGUGAACUAUGCGUGGAUAGGGUGAAGCCAGAGGAAACUCUGG